UAACUAAAUACUUCCUCUCCCAAACAAAAACUCUUUUUCCGAUGACUUGCCUAAUGCCUACUUCUAAAAUUGCUUCCAAACAAUGCUAGCGAGGAUUGUUAGUCCUCAAAAAAAAGAUGAUUUCCCUUUGGGUUUUCUUGCUUCGGCUUUCCAAUAGUCUGCUAAAUCACUAACAAAAAAAAACAUAUAAUUCCCAAACUGCUUGAGACAAAAAUUCACCUUUAAUUUGUUUGGUGGGACGAGAGACAACUGCAUUUAUUGUUUUGCAGAUCACCGUGGAUCCCCCAGAAUCGGACAACGACGUUAAUGCCUCUGAACAUAACCCGGACCACGACUCGACAGAUCCUCCGGCACCUCUUCCUCUUUUCAGAUCCGGACAGCGAGCUCCACGAGUCGGACAACGAGGCUACUACCACCUGGUAAUACCUGGACCACAACUCGGGACACACACUUCCUUUUCUUCUACCUCCGAUACAUAACUACCAUGUCUAUUUUCCUCACUGCUACUCCUCUCAGCGGAUACGACGGCUAGGAUUUAUUCCCGGCUCGCGGACCGGCUGAGUUUCGUUCUACCAGGGUUCCAUUUUACACCGGGUCUUUAAGACUCGUGUUUAAAAUCGAUCCCUUCUAUUUUCCCUUGGGCGCCAUUUGUUAUGAUCCGCCUCUUUGCCACCCUGGCCUAUCGUUCCCAGCUAGCUCACGGGG